rnacentral:rRNA from 1 species
UACAGGGGGUGCAAACGUUGCUCGGAAUCAUUGGGCGUAAAGCGCACGUAGGCGGUUUGGUAUGUCGGAUGUGAAAGCCCUUGGCUCAACUGAGGAAGUGCAUCCGAAACUGGCAAGCUAGAGUACUAAAGAGGGUCGCGGAAUUCCCGGUGUAGAGGUGAAAUUCGUAGAUAUCGGGAGGAACACCGGUGGCGAAGGCGGCGACCUGGGUAGAUACUGACGCUGAGGUGCGAAAGCGUGGGGAGCAAACAGG